GGGUUGUAAAGCACUUUAAGCGGGGAGGAAGGGCGCCUGGAUAAUACCUGGGUGCAUUGACGUUACCCGCAGAAUAAGCACCGGCUAACUCUGUGCCAGCAGCCGCGGUAAUACAGAGGGUGCAAGCGUUAAUCGGAAUUACUGGGCGUAAAGCGCGCGUAGGCGGUUAUGCAAGUUGGAGGUGAAAUCCCCGGGCUCAACCUGGGCACUGCCUUCAAAACUGCAUGGCUAGAGUAUGGGAGAGGAAGGUAGAAUUCCAGGUGUAGCGGUGAAAUGCGUAGAGAUCUGGAGGAAUACCGAUGGCGAAGGCAGCCUUCUGGCCUAAUACUGACGCUGAGGUGCGAAAGCAUGGGGAGCAAACAGGAUUAGAUACCCUGGUAGUCCAUGCCGUAAACGAUGUCAACUAGUUGUUGGGAGACUUGAUCUCUUAGUGACGCAGCUAACGCAUUAAGUUGACCGCCUGGGGAGUACGGUCGCAAGACUAAAACUCAAAUGAAUUGACGGGGGCCCGCACAAGCGGUGGAGCAUGUGGUUUAAUUCGAUGCAACGCGAAGAACCUUACCUACUCUUGACAUCUAGCGAACCCUGUAGAGAUACGGGGGUGCCUUCGGGAAUGCUAAGACAGGUGCUGCAUGGCUGUCGUCAGCUCGUGUCGUGAGAUGUUGGGUUAAGUCCCGCAACGAGCGCAACCCUUGUCCUUAGUUGCCAGCACGUAAUGGUGGGAACUCUAAGGAGACUGCCGGUGACAAACCGGAGGAAGGCGGGGACGACGUCAAGUCAUCAUGGCCCUUACGAGUAGGGCUACACACGUGCUACAAUGGUCGGUACAGAGGGUUGCUACGCCGCGGGGCCGCGCUAAUCUCAAAAAGCCGAUCGUAGUCCGGAUUGGAGUCUGCAACUCGACUCCAUGAAGUCGGAAUCGCUAGUAAUCGCGGAUCAGAAUGCCGCGGUGAAUACGUUCCCGGGCCUUGUACACACCGCCCGUCACACCAUGGGAGUCUGUCGCACCAGAAGUAGGUAGCCUAACCGCAAGGAGGGCGCUUACCACGG
rnacentral:rRNA from 1 species